AAAUUAUGCUACAAAAAUGUUGACAAGGAUGGCAGUUUAAUAAAGAGUUAUAAGUUUAAUGAUUUAGAAAAUUAUUGAUACUUUUAAAAUGAUCUACCUUAACUGCACAAUAAAUGCCUCGGACAGGACUUGGAAUACGAGCUAGGAGACUGCUAACUAUGACAACACGUCCUUUUGAUCGUCUAAUCAAAGAAGGAGGUACCCAUUCGCAUUCACCUAAUGUCACCCAAGCAGCAGCAUGUAUUAAUGCCCAUAAACCUAUUGUAAGAUAUUUACGAUUGUCAAAUAUAUAUUAUAAAUAAUAAGUUUUAUAUAUCUAUAAAAGGAUAUAAAU